GCUUCCCUACGGGCGCAGCAGUGGGGGAUAUUGGACAAUGGGGGAAACCCUGAUCCAGCGAUGCCGCGUGAGGGAAGAAGGUUUUCGGAUUGUAAACCUCUGUGGAGGGGGACGAUAAUGACGGUACCCCUUUAGGAAGCCACGGCUAACUACGUGCCAGCAGCCGCGGUAAUACGUAGGUGGCGAGCGUUGUCCGGAAUUACUGGGUGUAAAGGGAGUGUAGGCGGGAAAGCAAGUCAGAAGUGAAAACUAUGGGCUUAACCCAUAGCCUGCUUUUGAAACUUUUUUUCUUGAG
rnacentral:rRNA from 1 species